rnacentral:tRNA from 1 species
GCCCCCGUAGCUCAGUGGAUAGAGCAGCGGUUUCCUAAACCGUUGGUCGUGCGUUCGACUCGCGCCGGGGGCG